rnacentral:snRNA from 1 species
AUACUUACCUGGACGGGGUCAAUGGAUGAUCAAGAAGGUCCAUGGCCUAGGUUAGUGACCUCCAUUGCACUUAGGAGGGGUGCUCGCCUAAGAUCUCCCCAAUGAGGGAGAGUCUACGUCAUAAUUUGUGUUAGCGGGGGUACGCGUUCGCGCGGCCCCUGA